rnacentral:rRNA from 1 species
GACGAACGCUGGCGGCGUGCUUAACACAUGCAAGUCGAGCGGUAAGGCCCUUUCGGGGGUACACGAGCGGCGAACGGGUGAGUAACACGUGGGUGACCUGCCCUCAGCUCUGGGAUAAGCCCGGGAAACUGGGUCUAAUACUGGAUAUGACUCCACGGUGCAUGCCGUGGGGGUGGAAAGCCUUGUGCGGCUGAGGAUGGGCCCGCGGCCUAUCAGCUUGUUGGUGGGGUGAUGGCCUACCAAGGCGACGACGGGUAGCCGGCCUGAGAGGGCGACCGGCCACACUGGGACUGAGACACGGCCCAGACUCCUACGGGAGGCAGCAGUGGGGAAUCUUGCGCAAUGGGCGAAAGCCUGACGCAGCGACGCCGCGUGAGGGAUGACGGCCU